rnacentral:rRNA from 1 species
UAAGCGGAGGAAAAGAAACUAACAAGGAUUCCCCUAGUAACGGCGAGUGAAGCGGGAAAAGCUCAAAUUUGAAAUCUGGCAGCCUCAGGUUGCCCGAGUUGUAAUCUAUAGAAACGUUUUCCGCGCCGGCCCAUGUACAAGUCCCUUGGAACAGGGCGUCAUAGAGGGUGAGAAUCCCGUCCUUGACACGGACCACCGGUGCUUUGUGAUACGUUUUCAACGAGUCGAGUUGUUUGGGAAUGCAGCUCAAAAUGGGUGGUAAAUUCCAUCUAAAGCUAAAUAUUGGCGAGAGACCGAUAGCGAACAAGUACCGUGAGGGAAAGAUGAAAAGCACUUUGGAAAGAGAGUUAAACAGUAUGUGAAAUUGUUGAAAGGGAAACGAUUGAAGUCAGUCGUGUCUAUUGGACUCAGCCGGUUCUGCCGGUGUACUUCCUUUAGAUGGGGUCAACAUCAGUUUUGAUCGCUGGAAAAGGGCGGGAGGAAUGUAGCACUCUCGGGUGAACUUAUAGCCUUCCGUCGUAUACAGUGGUUGGGACUGAGGAACGCAGCAUGCCUUUAUGGCCGGGGUUCGCCCACGUACAUGCUUAGGAUGUUGACAUAAUGGCUUUAAACGACCCGUCUUGAAACACG